UACGUAGGGUGCAAGCGUUGUCCGGAAUUAUUGGGCGUAAAGAGCUCGUAGGCGGUUUGUCACGUCGGAUGUGAAACCCCGGGGCUCAACCCCGGGCCUGCAUUCGAUACGGGCAGACUAGAGUUCGGCAGGGGAGACUGGAAUUCCUGGUGUAGCGGUGAAAUGCGCAGAUAUCAGGAGGAACACCGGUGGCGAAGGCGGGUCUCUGGGCCGAUACUGACGCUGAGGAGCGAAAGCGUGGGGAGCAAACGGG
rnacentral:rRNA from 1 species